rnacentral:lncRNA from 1 species
CCAUUGGUCUGGCCCCAGAUGACUCACCAACCAUCUUCCCCUCCACCUUGCUCCCUCCCACAUACACCCUCCCCACUGCAUGGCGCCAUCAGUCAAGCAAGACCUCCAGAGAGGAAGGAGAAGAGAAGCUGGCCAGAGAGGCUCUGGGUGGGGACACAGUGCAGAGCUGGCCCUGGUGUCAUCCUGUGCCUCAGACCAGCCCCAGGUCAGCCUCGGUCCCUUUUCCCACCAGCAUUUGGGACCACCAUGACUCCUGCCCUUUCAGCCUUCCUGUGCCUGGGGCUGUGUCUGUGCAAAAGGACAAGGACCCAGGCAGCAGACAGACUCCCCAAACCCUUCCUCAAGGCAGAGAGUGGCUCUCUGGUACCCUGAGCCGGAGCUGUGACCCUCAGGUGCAGGGGAUCAUGGGAGGCUGAAUACUGGAGGCUGGAGAAAAGGGGAGAAUCUGGAUGGUCACUGAUCAAAGCUGUGAGACAAGCUGGAAAUGAGGGCGAGUUUUCCCUCCCAUCUGUGACACCACAUGAUGCUGGGACCUACCGAUGCCUCUACAGAGAUUCAUCCUACAGGUGGUCAGAGUGCAGUGACCCCCUGCAGCUGGUGGUCACAGGUAAGGCAGAUUCUCCCCCCCAGGCAGGGCUGGCUCAGGGUCUCCACAGCUCUGGGUCCCUCCCCAGCCCAGCCUGGCCCCGAGUGUCCCUCUGGCUCUGCCCUUUCUGGCUUCUCCCCUGUGCCUGCCUCAG